rnacentral:lncRNA from 1 species
UGCACUUUGUGUGUUCUAUAUUAUCAUAUACAGUAGUGUUGAUUUAUUAAUAAUAAAUCUGUGUAUAUAACAAAGGUAUAUAAAUAAAUAUAACGCGGCGAAUGCGCGUCAAGCAGUACUGAAACGCGGCCGAAAUAAAAACUAAAAACUGUGGUUAAUAGUCGUGUAUUAAAAUCUUGACUGAUGUGGCGUAUGAUUUAAUUAUGUUUUAGGAUUUAAAAAUGCUUUGUCAUUUGUAUUUAUACUUGUACUGCAUCACAAGGCAGUGCGUAAGUGAACAGAUUCUACAUGUGAAGUUGUCUUGUAUAUAUUUUUGCCUUCUUUGAUAAACAUUAUUAAACACGCAAAUUUAGUGAGACGAACACUGCACAUGUUAAAUGUUACCUGCAUGUCAUUGUCAUUGCCCUUUAACUCCUGGUCUAAUUCAAAGGUACGUUUUUGAAAGUGUUGAUGUAUAACUUAUGGAUGAUUCCAAUUCACUACAAAUAUUUCUUACUCUUAUUCUUUAAAAUAUUAAAGAUUCGGGAACAAUGCUAUACCAAGGCAGCAUUCACAAUCCUGUGGGUAAACUAGUUAAACCCAAAACGGAAUGGUCGCCCCGUCUAUUUAAUAAUGUUACUGAUUGCAGAACAAUUAAAGCUCAAUCCUUUUUUACAUUUAAAUACUCUUAAUAUGUUAAGAUUUUUUUUUAAUAUAUAUGAAAAUUGUAAAUAAUUAUGCAUGCACUAUUUACUAUUUUGGUAAAUGCCUAAUGAUUUUAACUCUUGUAAAUAGCCUAGAUUCUAAAGCAUAUUCAUGUACUAUUUUAUAACAUAUUCUUAUCUAUUGUAAAGUACUCGUUAAUUCAGUUGUUUCUGUAACUGCAAGAGAGUCCUAAUAAACUAUUAUUAUUAUUAUUAUUAUCAUAGGAAUGUACCAGUUGUGACUCUCGAUAUUUUUAACACGAACACGCUAUUUGUGAAUAUGUUGAUUAUCUAUCAAAAGUUAGAAAACUAAUGCCGAACACAAUUACAGUACAUCUUACUUGCAUUAUUAAUGUCAUCAAAUAUAACUUUCGCGAAGAUUGGAGCGCAUUAGAUAGUUGGAAGGCGUUUAUGUCGUGUAGAUCUUAUCAAAGGCAUUUGACGCGGCAAGCUAGAAUGAUCGCAAAGCUCGAUGUGUCGAAUGAGGAAGGAUUGUACAUGAAAAAGGCGUCGCAGAGAUUCUAUUUUAACCAUAUUUUAGACGCGCUUAGAAAUCUAAGAGCUAAGAUUUUCGAAACAACGGGCGUAGCAAAGGCCAGACACCUUCAUGAUUUCGUUUGCUGGCAACAAACACGAGGGUUAAUCCGGGCAGGUCUAAGGAAAUACGCACAUUACAAAUCUUCGUUGAGUCAGGGGAGAAUCCAUUUGACGUAAGUUCGUUUCUCCACACAAAUGUUAUUGUCUUUAGGGAAGGCACGACUGUGUUUUGAUCGAAAACGACUUCAAGACUGUUCAGUAAAUAGUCUAUUAUUUGCAUCAAUACAAUUUAGCUAAUGCCCAGUGACCCAGUCUUCUGCAAGCUAAGUCGCAUGCCUACUUUUUUCUCAACUACACCGGAGAACCAUUUAGGGAUAGUUCAAGUUUAUGCAAGCACCUGGGAGAUUUAUUCGACCGAGAAGUAUGUAUCCGUGUCUCCACAAACGUAUUACGACAUUCCAUAGUAACAUACUUUAAGACCUUAGAAGAUUCCGAGGACCUUAAGAUUGGGGAGUCCCUUGCUAGAUUAAUCGUAUCGUCGUCGUAUCGUAAAAAUUUAUUUCAAGACGCUAGCCUCAUCAACGUACGUUGGUUUUCAUGAGGGGCGUCGUCAUUUUAUGUACGAAGUAUUUACAACAAAAUACGUAAAAACAAAGAAAAACUAUUUACAAGAGUGCAUGCUGAAUACAGGAGGUGUGACCCAUACAUUAACAUUAGUAACGGAAUCAAAGAUUAAUAUUUUGUUUGAAAACAUGGAUUGAUUUGUGCCUCUUUUGCUUCCCGAGAAAGGGUAUUCCAAAGCUUUGGCCCGCUGUAUUUAAAAUCUUUUUUUAGGAAUUCCCUUCUCCGUUUUGGGAGAGCUAAAUCAGUAUUAGCUAUUUUUCAAGUUAUAGUUCGCUUGCGUUAAGCUACUCCCAAUCAUUGACUUUUUCAAGUUAGGAGCAGUAUAAUCGUUUAGAAUUUUACACAGAAGAAUGGACUUCAUCUUCUGAAUUCCACUUUUAAAAGUUUCCCAACCAAGAGUUUCAAGAACAACAGCAGAUUCAAUUUCGUAACUUCAGCGAGCAAUUAUUCUUGCCGAACGAUUUUGAAAUUUCUGAAUUUUAAUGAAACAUUCCCUAAGAUAUCAGCAGAUAUCAGCACGACGAUACGACAGCGCAGCAAAAGACACAACCAGCUAGGGAGCUAUUGCGUAGGAAACUGACAGCAGAUAUUUUUGGGCAAGCUCAUGUUGUGAUUACCGAAGAGAACGGUUUUAGGCUGGAUCCGCGCCUGAAAAAAAGUCUCAAAGUUACCUUGUCCGAAAAUUUACCCAAAAGCCACACCCUGGAAACUUCGAACAAGUUUAUUUAUAUUUCUCCUUUUGGUGUAUGUGAUUUAGUGGAACGCCAAGACUAAUACAUUCAGAACUUUCACCGGAAGGAAUCUAAAAACGUUUAUCCCUAAGGUAGAAUCGUUUACGAUUACCAGCCAGGUUGUUGAAACCGUACCUUUAGCUUCAACGGCCGUUUUGAAUAGUGAUGAAUAUCUUUCUAAAUAUACUCGCAAUUCCAAACAUUUCAAACAAAGUCAUUUAAUUGGAAUAAAUUUUCAGCAACAUGACAAAGACUACGAACAAGCUUUGAGACGCGUACCCUGCUUCGUAGCAGGAAGCAACAAACUCCAAUUAUUACGUUGAGCACAAUUGGUGGAGAAGCAUAACUACCACUCGCAACGCACGCUACGCAAGGAAAUCAACAAAAAACAUGCGAUCACACAAUCAGUAUUCACAGAGGUCACCGUAUCGCUGCACAAUAUAAACCCACAGGUAAUGAUUUACAUUUAUAUAUACGAAUGCGAUUCCCCAAUUUGGAUCGAUAAACUCUGGACGUUGGAAUCAAUUCGAACGAAAAAUACUCGAAUGGGAUAGAAAAAGCUGCCACAGCGCUCCUGUACAUAUUAUUGUUGGCGUUAUACCAUCAACGUAUGGAAAAAACGAUCCCAGAUUUGUUGGUGAAGCAGGAUUCAGUAACUAUCGUGGGCCAUCCAGGCUUUUCCCAGCUGUGAAGCCGUUUUCUCUGUGCUUUCUCAAUAACCUGUCAUUAUCUAAUUGUUUUAGUACUUAAUAUAAAUAGUAAAUCCACGAACGCUGUGUCAUAGGUGGGACUUGAAUAUGAUAUGGGGCCAAAGAAGAAAAAGAUUGGUUGAAAGUUUCCCUAAUGAGGGAGUCGUUUUCACACUUUAACCUGAAUUGGACGUAGGCGAGUUAAACGGAACAUUCCAUUGGCAUGACCAAAAUAAAAACAUGACUGAGAAAAAUAUCCGAAGGAAUCGUUGGUAUCUUGCCUUCUUUAAAUAACCAUUUUAAAAGCUAAAAGAUAUUGUAAUCUUUACACAAUUCUUAAUUUUUGUAUAAUUCCUUAUUUUCUGUGUAAUUGCUGCGGAGCGAGCGAACCUGAAGCGAGCGAGCGUAGCAGCAACAUAAUAUACGCAGAGAGGGGGUUUUGAACUAAAUUUUAUUUAGCGCAUGGAAUUGUGGUCGUGCGCGAUUUCUAUGCGCAGAACACACAUUUUAAACUCGUUCGAAUCUUUGAUUUUUACCGAAUUUCUAAAGCUUUUUCAUGUCUAAUGUUACGCUUACAUUUGUAUUGGACUUUGGCCACUGUCAGUUCUAUAUUUUUAUAAAGUUUUGGUUUCUUAGUGUGAUAAAUCUGUGUAUAUAGUCUAUAUAGUGUGGUAAAUGCGCCUAGCAGUAAACAGACUUGAUAUGAAAUCUGAUCUUAAUUUACCUGUAUGUCAAUGAGAAAGACGCACAUGUUUAAUAUCUGUCACCUCUGAUUGCCCUUUAACCCCUGGUCUUUGCUACUUCAAUAUAUAUUGCUUCUUCUCAGUUCCAUUCACAGCUCACUAGUCGCUGCGAGUAAUCACUGUGCUUGAUAUAAUCUGUGCUGUUUACUGUAGUUCUAUUUGCUUUUAAUGCCCGCAGCAAUCCCUACCUUGCAGGUACCCUAGUUGUAUAUUGUUGUUGCAUUUCACGGUGUAGUGGUGUAAUUUGUAAAUUUUGUAAAUAUAAAAGUAAAUUUAUUCUUUUGUAUUAAUUCAUAGAUUCGUGAGACAAUUGUUGUAACAUAAUGCAUGUAAUACCAGGUACAUUUUAAUAUUGUUAGUUUUAAGCAAAUGUGUAAAUAAUUUCGCAAUUCUCUUUCGAGCGCGACGAUUUUAUAAUAAACCCUUGAUUGAUUUUCAUGUGAUGUGAAUCACUCAUGAACGUUUUCGUUCAUGGUUUGUCCUCCGAGAGCGCAUGCUCCAAAACCCUACUCAGCUUGUGGAAAUUCACCGCAACAACUCAUUCCGAACGCCACUUACUACGAGUGCCAAAACAAUCCCUUCAUCUCUGGGACGCCGACGCUGGCGAGAUCAGAUUAUCACGGCCAGACACGCAACUGUCAAGUCUGGUAACUCAGAGCAAAACCAUCAGACUUCGUAUGUUGAACUCGGACAGUCUUGAGACCGAAUACUCUGCGCGUAUAUACAAUCCAAAAAUUCCAUGGAGUACCACGCGUUUUUGACACGUCAUAUCGGGACAGAGUAAAACGCCUAACUACAUGCCAGACCUGUUUGUCGCCAGUCAUAAUGACAUGUAUCAAUUAAGAAGUAAUGAUCGAAAACUUUAUUUAAACAAACCAAACACAAACUUUA